AAUAUUGGACAAGGGGGGCAACCCUGAUCCAGCCAUGCCGCGUGUGUGAAGAAGGUCUUCGGAUUGUAAAGCACUUUAAGCUGGGAGGAAGGGCUUUAGGUUAAUACCCUGAAGUUUUGACGUUACCAACAGAAUAAGCACCGGCUAACUCUGUGCCAGCAGCCGCGGUAAUACAUAGGGUGCAACCGUUAAUCGGAAUAACUGCGCGUAAAGCGAGCGUAGGUGGUUAAGUACGCUGAGUGUGAAAACCCCGGGGUUAACCUGGAAACUGCUGUCAUAACUGAUAGCCUAGAGUACGGAAGAGAGUAGAGGAAUUUCCUGUGUAGCGGUGAAAUGAGUAGAUAUAGGAAGGAACACCAGUGGCGAAGGCGACUACCUGGACUAAUACUGACACUGAGGUGCGAAAGCGUGGGGAGAAAAC
rnacentral:rRNA from 1 species